UGCAGCAGCAGUGUGACUUGCUCAAGGUC
rnacentral:piRNA from 1 species